AUUGAACGCUGGCGGCAUGCCUUACACAUGCAAGUCGAACGGCAGCACGGGUGCUUGCACCUGGUGGCGAGUGGCGAACGGGUGAGUAAUACAUCGGAACGUACCUUAUCGUGGGGGAUAACGCAGCGAAAGCUGUGCUAAUACCGCAUACGCCCUGAGGGGGAAAGCGGGGGAUCGAAAGACCUCGCGCGAUUAGAGCGGCCGAUGCCUGAUUAGCUUGUUGGUGGGGUAAAAGCCCACCAAGGCGACGAUCAGUAGCUGGUCUGAGAGGACGAUCAGCCACACUGGGACUGCGACACGGCCCAGACUCCUACGGGAGGCAGCAGUGGGGAAUUUUGGACAAUGGGGGCAACCCUGAUCCAGCAAUGCCGCGUGAGUGAAGAAGGCCUUCGGGUUGUAAAGCUCUUUCGUCAGGGAAGAAACACCGGCUCUAACACAGUCCGGGAAUGACGGUACCUGAAGAAUAAGCACCGGCUAACUACGUGCCAGCAGCCGCGGUAA
rnacentral:rRNA from 1 species